GUCAAUAAUGCACGUGAAGGAAAAUUCUGCAAAAACUGCAAAAGGACACAAAGAUGAGAAAGGUCCGACUGUGAGUGUGACCGGACGUUGAUCUAUGUGCAGCCUCCCAUUGACUGUCAUUAUCGUCAUCGUUGUGUAUGGGUUGUGAAUUCCCCAAGAGUUUGGGGUCAGCCGUGUCACAGAACGGUCACGCUAAGCUGCCAGAGCCAGCCCAGCGUAAGCAGCUUUCAGCGUAUCAGGCAUCGGAGCUUGGCCCAAACUCAUUGCGGAGGAUUGAAUUAACUUCUGCAGUCACACACAGUUGUAAGUAAAACAAGAAA